rnacentral:rRNA from 1 species
AUUCCAGCACCAAUAGCGUAUAUUAAUGCUGCUGCUGUUAAAAAGCUCGUAGUUGGAUCAAGAGUUCGACCGUGCACGGUGGCCCUGUCGCCGCGGUGGUUCCGAUCAUCGCGGUGGCAGCGGAUCAACCCCGUGCGCCAAACGGUCGACUCUAACAGACCGGAGCGGUUCCCUGUGAGUAGGCUCCUUCAUUGGGGCUGAAAGCGUCUACGCAUCAACCAUAUGCAUACGGGGGACGUCGGUCAAAGUUACUGUGAACAAACCAGCGUGUCCAAAACAGGCCUUUGCCUGAAUGUUCGAGCAUGGAAUAACAAGGGAUCGAUUCUCUCGGUUCUUUUUGUUUGGUUUUUUAACCCGAGAAGGAGUAAUUUCAGGCCACGGUGUCUGAGUUUGGGUUUUCCCGUCGCCUCGGCGGCGG